rnacentral:lncRNA from 1 species
GAGAUUUUACCAAGUUUUUUUGUUGCAAUAAAAUUUGAGGUAUUCUUAUUAAAAUUGAGGUUAUUUCUGGAGAAAAUGGUAAUAAGAUAAAUCAACAGGAGCUAAAGUAAGCCAAAGGAAAACAUAAUGAAAGCAUUCUGUAGUGUGGUUUAGAGAACUCACAGUGCCAAGUGUCUUGCGAGUGGGACAAGGAACGGGAAAGCCUGCGGGAACUUCCAACAGCGCCCCCCGGAUGUGAGUUUGUCUUCGGUGAGUAUGGCUGCCUGGUAUAUUUGUCAUGAUGGGCAGGUCUGUGUUUCUGUAUGUUCAUCUGUAUGGAUGUGGAUGUGUCUUGUACGAGAGAGUAAGGGGAGGUCAUUUUCUUUCUCUUGUCUUCAUGCUUUAUUCUUCUCUCUGGGCAGAUAAGAUCGCAGGGCACCUCAGUACACCUGGAGGGAAAAGAAAACUCCUCAAGCUAAGGUUUACAGUUUGGAUCCAAGUGUAUACAGGAAUUCACUGGCUGUUUCCUACUUGGAUUAGCUAUCCCCUCUGCAGUUUUCAUGAUAUAUCCUCCAACGGAUCCAGAUCCUAUCUGCAGGGGAGAAAUCACAUUCAGAGUGGGGAAAAAUGCCUGGGAGAAGAUAAAGACUGACUCCAGAAAAGGAACAGCAUUUACACUGGACAGGAGAGGUAUUCAGAAGAGAAAGGAUUACAUGCUGAAUAAAGGUCUUCCCCACGAGAAGGG